GCCUGUGUGGCUUAGUUGGUAUAGCACUACAUUGGUAAUGUAGAGAUCCCGAGUUCGAAUCUCGGCACAGGCU
rnacentral:tRNA from 1 species